CCUACGGGAGGCAGCAGUAGGGAAUUUUUCACAAUGGGCGAAAGCCUGAUGGAGCAACGCCGCGUGAAGGAUGAAGGCCUUCGGGUUGUAAACUGCUUUUAUCAGCGAGAAAUAUGAUGGUAAUUUAUGAAUAAGCAUCGGCUAACUCCGUGACAGCAGCCGCGGUAAUAAGGCGGAUGCGAGCGUUAUCCGGAUUUAUUGGGUGUAAUGGGUGCGUAGGCGUAACAUUAAGUCAGCGGGUAAAGCCAGGGGCUAAACCCCUUUAAGCCGUUGAAACUGGUGAUCUUGAGUGGGCGAGAAGUAUGCGGAAUGCGUGGUGUAGCGGUGAAAUGCAUAGAUAUCACGCAGAACUCCAGUUGCGAAGGCAGUAUACCGGCGCCCGACUGACGCUGAGGCACGAAAGCGUGGGGAGCGAACAGGAUUAGAUACCCGAGUAGUC
rnacentral:rRNA from 1 species